GCCGAAGUGGUGGAACUGGCAGACACGCACGACUCAAAAUCGUGUGGGCUUGACCCAUGAGGGUUCGACUCCCUCCUUCGGCACCA
rnacentral:tRNA from 1 species